GGCGUGAUGCGGGCUUACGCGGACAGCGGCAACAUGAUUAUAAAAUUGCGGGAACACAUAAUUUCUUUCAUAAACAAAACCUGGCCGAUAAGAUAUCAGUUCUAUGAGCGUUUUAACGCAAUUCUUAGUAAUUGUGGGCAGAAAUGUUCAUAGAGGAAUCGUUGGAUGAAUUUAUUGAAUUUACGAUGUUUUAUACCUAUGAGGUUAUUUUUGGAAUAUGAAUCUUCAAUACUUUUUCGUUUAUUAAAAUAUAUGCUUCAUCAGGCCUCACAUGCAGCCACAAGAUUCCGCCACAAGUGUAAUAUCUAGAAUCAUUAAAAUAUAAUUAUUCUCAAACACGUAAUGGACUGAUUUAGGGUUCUUUUUCCAACCGUUAUCGAUCUCCGAAAAGAAAAAAUAUUUAGACGACCACGAUGAUUCUUCGGCUUGUAGACCAAGAAACAUUUGCAGCAAGACAGCAAAAAUUUGUCCCGACAUCAGAGACAGAUUCGAACGAAAUGGUUGAGACCGGAAGAAAAUUGACAACGGACGAGGGUCGAUGUACCUCGUAACUGAGAGUCGCGAUGUCCGGAUGUAUCGUGGGAAUUUGAGGUUCGAGUCUCUCGGCGGAACCGAUGCGCGUUUGAUCGUCGAUCGAUUCUUGAGCCAUGAUUUGAGCGGACCUUCCUCUCAUGAGAACGCUCCUGCCAAUUCUCCUGCCCUCUCGGUGAUCGUCUCUGCGAAUGAGCAACGAAAAAAAAAUUCUAGCCUCGAGGACUUUCCGUGGAAUAAAUAGGAAAUUGACUAGAAAAGACUUUUUCCGGAGUUGUAACUCACCGAAAAUGAAUAGGCCUUCGACAACAACGUCACUG